rnacentral:rRNA from 1 species
UACGUAGGGUGCAAGCGUUGUCCGGAAUUAUUGGGCGUAAAGAGCUCGUAGGCGGUCAGUCGCGUCUGCUGUGAAAACUCGGGGCUUAACUCCGGGCCUGCAGUGGGUACGGGCUGACUAGAGUGCGGUAGGGGAGACUGGAAUUCCUGGUGUAGCGGUGAAAUGCGCAGAUAUCAGGAGGAACACCGGUGGCGAAGGCGGGUCUCUGGUCCGGUUCUGACGCUGAGGCGCGAAAGCGUGGGGAGCAAACAGG